UACGUAGGGCGCGAGCGUUGUCCGGAAUUAUUGGGCGUAAAGAGCUCGUAGGCGGCUUGUCACGUCGGGUGUGAAAGACCGGGCUUAACUCCGGUUCUGACAUUCGAUACGGGCUAGCUAGAGUGUGGUAGGGGAGAUCGGAAUUCCUGGUGGUAGCGGUGGAAAUGCGCAGAGUAUCAAGGAGGAACACCGGGUGGCGAAGGCGGAUCUCCUGGGCCAUUGACUGACGCUGAGGAGCGAAAGCGUGGGAGCGAACAGG
rnacentral:rRNA from 1 species